rnacentral:rRNA from 1 species
UACGUAGGUGGCAAGCGUUGUCCGGAUUUACUGGGCGUAAAGAGCGCGCAGGCGGUCGUUCAAGUCGCGUGUGAAGCCCCCGGCUCAACUGGGGAGGGUCACGCGAUACUGAUCGACUCGAAGGCAGGAGAGGGUAGUGGAAUUCCCGGUGUAGUGGUGAAAUGCGUAGAUAUCGGGAGGAACACCAGUGGCGAAGGCGACUACCUGGCCUGUUCUUGACGCUGAGGCGCGAAAGCUAGGGGAGCAAACGGG